rnacentral:rRNA from 1 species
GACGAACGCUGGCGGCGUGCCUAAUACAUGCAAGUUGAGCGCUGAAGGUUGGUACUUGUACCAACUGGAUGAGCAGCGAACGGGUGAGUAACGCGUGGGGAAUCUGCCUUUGAGCGGGGGACAACAUUUGGAAACGAAUGCUAAUACCGCAUAAAAGCUUUAAACACAAGUUUUAAGUUUGAAAGAUGCAAUUGCAUCACUCAAAGAUGAUCCCGCGUUGUAUUAGCUAGUUGGUGAGGUAAAGGCUCACCAAGGCGAUGAUACAUAGCCGACCUGAGAGGGUGAUCGGCCACAGUGGGACUGAGACACGGCCCAAACUCCUACGGGAGGCAGCAGUAGGGAAUCUUCGGCAAUGGACGAAAGUCUGACCGAGCAACGCCGCGUGAGUGAAGAAGGUUUUCGGAUCGUAAAACUCUGUUGGUAGAGAAGAACGUUGGUGAGAGUGGAAAGCUCAUCAAGUGACGGUAACUACCCAGAAAGGGACGGCUAACUACGUG